rnacentral:rRNA from 1 species
GACAGAGGGUGCAAGCGUUGUUCGGAAUUACUGGGCGUAAAGGGCUCGUAGGCGGCCAACUAAGUCGGAUGUGAAAUCCCCAGGCUCAACCUGGGAACUGCAUCCGAUACUGGAUGGCUUGAGUUUGGGAGAGGGACGCGGAAUUCCAGGUGUAGCGGUGAAAUGCGUAGAUAUCUGGAGGAACACCGGUGGCGAAGGCGGCGUCCUGGACCAACACUGACACUGAUGAGCGAAAGCCAGGGGAGCAAACGGG